UGAGAGCUCAGGACGAUUUGGUUUCACAUGGAAGAAUGAGAUUAUAAAUGGGAAGGCAGCUGUAAUUGGGUUCUUGCUGUAAUUGGGUUCUUGAUGAAAGCUCAGUUGGAUUUGGUUUCAGUCGUUGUUUUGCAUGGUAUAUUGAGAUGAUUUCUUUGGAGCAAUUCUUGACAACAUUUGUAGUUGAGGCUUUUAGAAUGGAAGAAUGUAUUUCACUAAUUUUUGUAUACAUGUCUUGUUUUAUAUUUAGUGAUAAAGGAAUUUGAAUUGGGCAUAAAUUAUGUUGUAAUAUGAUUUCUUAAGCCUAGAUUAGUAGACUAAAUAUUGUAAUUACAUUUGAGUAAUUAAUAAAAAUCUAUUUAUGCUA